CUAGGCCGAGUUGUAAUUUGCAGAGGAUGCUUUGGACUUUUGCUCCUUUCCAAGUCCUUUGGAAAAGGGCAUCAUAGAGAGUGAAAAUCUCGUAGGAUUGGAUGCACUGUCUGUGUAAAGCUCCUUCGAAGAGUCGAGUUGUUUGGGAAUGCAGCUCUAAGUGGGACGUAAAUUUGUUCCAAAGCUAAAUAUCAGCUAGAGACCGAUAGCGCACAAGUAGAGUGAUCGAAAGAUGAAAAGCACUUUGAAAAGAGAGUUAAAAAGCACGUGAAAUUGUUGAAAGGGAAGCUCAUGCAGCCAGACAUGAUUUCGAGGCUCAGCCUUAUGGUGUAUUCCUCAAAGUCAGGCUAGCAUCAGUUUGGACAGACGGAUAAAAGUUUUGGGAAUGUAGCUCCUUGGAGUGUUAUAGCCCGAUUCAUAAUGCGUCUCGAUCAGACUGAGGUUCGCUUAUAGGAUGCUGGCGUAAUGGUGGCAUGAGGCCCGUCUUGAAACACGG
rnacentral:rRNA from 1 species